rfam:Leifsonia rubra CMS 76R Leifsonia_rubra_contig_11, whole genome shotgun sequence.
GACCGCUGUCCAUCACAACGGAUCGUCCGGCACGUACCUGCCGGUGAAGGAGAAAAUAC